rnacentral:misc_RNA from 1 species
GAACGCGCCCAUGAUAAUGAUAUAUUCUCAUAUUUUAUCUUACAAAAACAAAGAUAAAAGUAAGACCCAACUAAUUAAAGUUGCUUUAGAUAUUCAAAAAGAGAUUUUCGUCCAUGAAUUUUGAUUGAUGUUCCUAUUUUUUAUAUCAUAGUGUUGUUUUUUGCCAACUUUCUUUUACUUUUGUUUUCUCUUUUCUUCUAACCUUGCAA